AUGUUGUAAACGCGCAGUGUCUAAGGCAGUUUGGAACUCUGAGGCAGACAGAGUUUGCCUGUAGAGAGAGCAUAGUCAUGCUUGGGGCAGGGCUGAGGUUAUUGGGCAUGCAGCGCAUAGAUGGAACAUGAAGAGUGGGCAGAAAGGGCCGGCACCGGCACGAAUAGGCCGGAGCAGUGGGGAACAGGUUGGAUGUGGAGCUGAGUUGCCACAUGGAGCUGAAAUUGUUUGUGGGGUGCACAGAAACAUCAACCCCGUGUGGACCUGAAGUGCUGCAUGAGAGUGGAGAUACUGCACAGAAUUGGAGCGUGGUCUACAGCAGGAAACUGGAAGAAGUUGCAUGCCAAACUCAGUGAGCAAAUCAGGACCUUGGAGAAGUCUCAGCGGGAUCUGGAAAGAUCUAGCUGAUAAGGAUGAUAGCAUCCAUGCUCUGCCCAACUGCAUUAUGGAGCUGAAUCAUUUGGAGAGUGGAUCAGAAUCUGAGGGUCCAGGUCCAGGCAGAUGUGAGCCAG